GAAAAGGUGAAGAUUCACAGGAAGGUGAUCAGGUUCCAAACUUUAGCCUUAAUAGCACCGAGCCCUUUAGCAAUCCAGAGAAUGAUACUCAUACAUUUGAAGAGUUCGCUUUGCCACCCCCUCCCCCUCCUCCUCCUCCUCGUAACUAUUUUACAGGCUACACUCUUCCUCCAGGGCAUCCAUGUAAUAGCUUCACCUUACCUCCCCCACC
rnacentral:misc_RNA from 1 species